rnacentral:rRNA from 1 species
GUCGAACGAUGAACCACUUCGGUGGGGAUUAGUGGCGAACGGGUGAGUAACACGUGGGCAAUCUGCCCUGCACUCUGGGACAAGCCCUGGAAACGGGGUCUAAUACCGGAUAUUGACCUUCACGGGCAUCUGUGAGGUUCGAAAGCUCCGGCGGUGCAGGAUGAGCCCGCGGCCUAUCAGCUUGUUGGUGAAGUAAUGGCUCACCAAGGCGACGACGGGUAGCCGGCCUGAGAGGGCGACCGGCCACACUGGGACUGAGACACGGCCCAGACUCCUACGGGAGGCAGCAGUGGGGAAUAUUGCACAAUGGGCGAAAGCCUGAUGCAGCGACGCCGCGUGAGGGAUGACGGCCUUCGGGUUGUAAACCUCUUUCAGCAGGGAAGAAGCGAAAGUGACGGUACCUGCAGAAGAAGCGCCGGCUAACUACGUGCCAGCAGCCGCGGUAAUACGUAGGGCGCAAGCGUUGUCCGGAAUUAUUGGGCGUAAAGAGCUCGUAGGCGGCUUGUCACGUCGGUUGUGAAAGCCCGGGGCUUAACCCCGGGUCUGCAGUCGAUACGGGCAGGCUAGAGUUCGGUAGGGGAGAUCGGAAUUCCUGGUGUAGCGGUGAAAUGCGCAGAUAUCAGGAGGAACACCGGUGGCGAAGGCGGAUCUCUGGGCCGAUACUGACGCUGAGGAGCGAAAGCGUGGGGAGCGAACAGGAUUAGAUACCCUGGUAGUCCACGCCGUAAACGGUGGGCACUAGGUGUGGGCAACAUUCCACGUUGUCCGUGCCGCAGCUAACGCAUUAAGUGCCCCGCCUGGGGGAGUACGGCCGCAAGGCUAAAACUCAAAGGAAUUUGACGGGGGGCCCGCACAAGCGGCGGGAGCAUGUGGGCUUAAUUCGACGCAACGCCGAAGAACCUU